UCCGGGAUGAAUGAGAUCCUAACAUCCAAUGGAAUGUGGGUUAGCGAGUUGUAAGGAUAUCAAUGUAUCUGGACGUAAAUUUAAACAAAAAAUGACAGUAUGUUUUUCGUGUUUGUAAUGGCUUUGUAUGAAUUGUUGCUUCAUAUAAAGUAAAAAAAAAAAAAAUAAUAAAUAAAAAUAAACAGGGCGCAAAAUGAGUAUCCAAUUAGAGACCGAUUGUUUGUUGGAAUAUCAUUUUAACAAACUCGG
rnacentral:lncRNA from 1 species